CAGCCAAGUGUGGCACCUCAGGUCAGGUCUGGGAGCAUGCACCAGCGCCAGCACAUCCACCACACCACAGAACCUACGUACUUGGGUCUUGGAAAGUAAUCUCACAUGAGAGACAACCCAUCCAUCCCCCUUUCUCAAACGGAACGUCCAUCUGCUGCAGCCAGGUGAAGCAAACAUUUCUCUUUGGUCUU